rnacentral:rRNA from 1 species
CUCCAAUAGCGUAUAUUUAAGUUGUUGCAGUUAAAAAGCUCGUAGUUGGAUUUCGGGUUGGCGUCAGCGGUCCGGCUCUGCUGUGUACUGCUGUCGUCUUCCUUUCUGUCGGGGACGGGCUCUUGGACUUCACUGUCCGGGACUCGGAGUCGGCGAGGUUACUUUGAGUAAAUUAGAGUGUUCAAAGCAAGCGUUCGCUAUGAAUACAUUAGCAUGGAAUAACAUGAUAGGACUCUGGCUUAUCUUGUUGGUCUGUAAGACCGGAGUAAUGAUUAAGAGGGACAGUCGGGGGCAUUCGUAUUUCAUUGUCAGAGGUGAAAUUCUUGGAUUUAUGAAAGACGAACUUCUGCGAAAGCAUUUGCCAAGGAUGUUUUCAUUAAUCAAGAACGAAAGUUGGGGGCUCGAAGACGAUUAGAUACCGUCGUAGUCUCAACCAUAAACGAUGCCGACUAGGGAUUGGCAGGUGUUCCUUUGAUGACCCUGCCAGCACCUUAUGAGAAAUCAAAGUUUUUGGGUUCCGGGGGGAGUAUGGUCGCAAGGCUGAAA